AAGCGCCGUUAACGGCCUGUUAACCUUUCGGCGGCAGUCUCAGUGCAAUACCCGCUUGCUCCUUGACCACGGAUGAACUGGCACUGAGGUGAGCGGAUGACGAAAGGCCGGGUCGAACCGGCCUUUUUGUUU
rnacentral:sRNA from 1 species